UCAUUUAAAUCUUCCUUUCAGUAGGAUACUUCUGCCCUUAACUGUGCCUGGGUUUCCCAGGCUAGAGGCUCUCUCCAGGGAAUAAAACUCCAGCCCGCUGCUUAGGUGGGGGAAGCAUAAUAUUCUCCAGUUCCAUCCAUGUUGUCACAAGAGGAAUUUUGUGAGUCACAAAUGCUUUGAAGAAGCCACAUACUUUGAAAAUAUCAGAUGUCAUUAUGGGUAUAACACACAGACAGAUGCAUACUUCCUCACCUCCACUCAUUAGUUUGUUCCAGAGGUAAGUGUAACUUUGGUAUGCCCAACGGUAAGAAGCUGUGGUACUCAGCAGAGGAGGCUGCAGGGGAAGGGAUGUCUUGUGGUGGUACUCAGAGGGAAUGGUUGACAUUUGAGUGCCUGGUGAGUCCUUUGACAUCUAGCAAAAGAGGAAUAAAAUACAAGGAGAGAAAGAAAAUGUUAGCUUGUUGGACUUUUCUUAGCACAAAAGGUGUACCCCCUAAAUGACAUAGAUAUAAUUGGCUUGAGGUAUGGGGUCCUCUUCUUCAGUUCUACACUGGCAAAUGAGGGCAGGAACCGGCACAAGGCAAGCUAAUGAGAGUAGUCCUGAACGACUUCUCCCAGAUGCAGUGCUCAAAUCCAUGAAUACUAGCCCUGGCAACUCCACAUUCUCUUACUGUAAAAGUGUAAAAGCUUAGGUUACUCCCCAGGCUGUAGAGCAAGUGUCCAGUUGCCCUCAGAGAUAGCACAUCUCUCAUCGAAAAGGAAACCUAGCCUGUAGCUUGCAUCCAGCUAAUCUUCCACAUUGCUCCAUCUAGGCACUUCCGUUCUCUCAUUACUUUCACAGAGAGCAGAGAUAGAUUUUCAUGGUUCCUCAGGGCACUGUUCUUUCUGCUUUGAUAGCCAAAGGCUAAACCCAAAUGAAC